AUUGAACGCUGGCGGCAUGCCUUACACAUGCAAGUCGAACGGCAGCACGGGAGCAAUCCUGGUGGCGAGUGGCGAACGGGUGAGUAAUAUAUCGGAACGUGCCCAGUCGUGGGGGAUAACGUAGCGAAAGCUACGCUAAUACCGCAUACGAUCUAUGGAUGAAAGCGGGGGAUCGCAAGACCUCGCGCGAUUGGAGCGGCCGAUAUCAGAUUAGGUAGUUGGUGCGGUAAAGGCUCACCAAGCCGACGAUCUGUAGCUGGUCUGAGAGGACGACCAGCCACACUGGGACUGAGACACGGCCCAGACUCCUACGGGAGGCAGCAGUGGGGAAUUUUGGACAAUGGGCGCAAGCCUGAUCCAGCAAUGCCGCGUGCAGGAUGAAGGCCUUCGGGUUGUAAACUGCUUUUAUACAGGAAGAAACACUCCGACGUGUCGGAGCUUGACGGUACUGUAAGAAUAAGGAUCGGCUAGCUCCGUG
rnacentral:rRNA from 1 species